GACGCGGCGAGGUGAAAAAUCACCUUGGGGGCCCAGGUUCCCCACGAACAGCUAAUUCUCAGGUACGGAAUGGGCUCUGGAGGGCCGCGAGGUGAGCGUGCACUGUCAGGAAGGUGCAGCACGAGUCUUCGGGCUUCAGGGACAGGGGAAUCUGCCCCCUACACCCCUGCUCGGCCAUUUACCUAGAACCAAACAGCAGCCAACCUCGAGACUGAUUCUGACAGCACCAGGAGUAAUGAAGUUCUCUAAAUUCGAUAAACUAUUGAAAUUUCCCUUCUUCCUUUCCCAUAAUGCCCAAACGACGCUGAAUCGGCAGCAGAAUGCAGGACUUUGGCCUAUAAUCAAUGCAAAAUUCAUUUUGCUAAGCUACGUAAAAGCUAUAAAUAUCACUCCCCUACACAGAUAAUAAACCUUGGUAGCCUA
rnacentral:lncRNA from 1 species